rnacentral:rRNA from 1 species
CGGACGGGUGAGUAACGCGUGGGUAACCUGCCUUGUACAGGGGGAUAACAGUUGGAAACGGCUGCUAAUACCGCAUAAGCGCACAGCAUCGCAUGAUGCAGUGUGAAAAACUCCGGUGGUAUAAGAUGGACCCGCGUUGGGUUAGCUAGUUGGUGAGGUAACGGCCCACCAAGGCAACGAUCCAUAGCCGACCUGAGAGGGUGACCGGCCACAUUGGGACUGAGACACGGCCCAA